rnacentral:rRNA from 1 species
CGCAAGCCUGAUCCAGCCAUUCCGCGUGAGUGAAGAAGGCCUUCGGGUUGUAAAGCUCUUUCGCAAGGGAAGAAACGAUAGUAGUGAAUAACUGCUGUUAAUGACGGUACCUUGAUAAGAAGCACCGGCUAACUACGUGCCAGCAGCCGCGGUAAUACGUAGGGUGCGAGCGUUAAUCGGAAUUACUGGGCGUAAAGCGUGCGCAGGCUGUUUUGUAAGUCAGAUGUGAAAUCCCCGAGCUCAACUUGGGAACUGCGUUUGAAACUACAAGACUAGAAUAGGUCAGAGGGGGGUAGAAUUCCA